rnacentral:rRNA from 1 species
AUUGAACGCUGGCGGCAUGCCUUACACAUGCAAGUCGAACGGCAGCACGGGAGCAAUCCUGGUGGCGAGUGGCGAACGGGUGAGUAAUAUAUCGGAACGUGCCCAGUCGUGGGGGAUAACGCAGCGAAAGCUGUGCUAAUACCGCAUACGAUCUACGGAUGAAAGCGGGGGAUCGCAAGACCUCGCGCGAUUGGAGCGGCCGAUAUCAGAUUAGCUAGUUGGUGGGGUAAAGGCCCGCCAAGGCGACGAUCUGUAGCUGGUCUGAGAGGACGACCAGCCACACUGGAACUGAGACACGGUCCAGACUCCUACGGGAGGCAGCAGUGGGGAAUUUUGGACAAUGGGCGCAAGCCUGAUCCAGGAAUGCCGCGUGCAGGAUGAAGGCCUUCGGGUUGUAAACUGCUUUUGUACGGAACGAAACGGCCCUUUCUAAUACAGGGGGCUAGUGACGGUACCGUAAGAAUAAGCACCGGCUAACUACGUGCCAGCCGCCGCCGUAA